UGGCUAUAUCGUUUCUAAAUUAUCUUUUCUCCCUUAGUUUUAUUCUCUUGGCUUGAUGGUCCCAUUGGUUUUUUUGUGUUUCUAUUAGUCUAAUAUGAAAGAUCCCAGGCAAACUUUCAGUGAAUUUUGUUUUUCUGAUAUGUAGCCUGUUUCGCUGUUAAUAUCUCUAAGAAUGUUGUACUCACUUCACUAUUCUGUUUAUUUGGUGAGUCUUCCAUUUCUGCUUAGGCAGUAUUUUCAUACCUAAGCAAUAAGAUAAAUGUAUCCUGGGUUGCACCAGCUCUGCUCCCUGUGGAAGAGUAGAUAAAGUCCCAGGAAUUCUUACUAACUUGGAAACUGCUUGGCUGGAAAAACCUUUUGGCUCUAUCUUAGUUGUGAAAUGAGUGGUUUUUUUCUUCUUUGUUAGAACCAAUCUAAAUAUGAUCCUUGAACUCAGAUAAUCAUUCUUCAGAAUGUUAAAUAAAAGCAGUCUAAGUAAAGGGAGAAAAUGUUUCUUUGUGCUUCCUAUUCGAGAAAUCCAGUUGCUUGCAAUCCACAUGUUUAGCACAUUUCUCAGAAUCAGGCUCAAAAGAAUACCUAGUAAAAAUAAAAGGGGAGGAAACAGCAAUAAAAAUCAUUGCGGAUUCAAAUUUAAGGUUAAAAUAUGGGAUUUUAGCCUGGAUGAUUUACAUUAAAAUCCUCCAGUUUUUCCUUCAGUUUUUGCUUGAUGCCAUGAUAAGAACAAUGUGAAUUCUGCCUGUUCUGCCCUUGAAGUUUGCAGAUAAAUUUCAAGCUUAUUAUGUUCAACAAGGCUGAUGAGAGAAAGGUGUUAGCUAUUCUAAGUCAAGAAAUUAGUAGCUGAGUCUAUAAAUUUAAAAGAAAUAAAGGGAACAAACCUAAAGCUGUCUUUUGUACAAUAGAAAAGAUUGCUAACAUUUUAGAAUGAGGGAAAAUGUUUAUAUGUGGGCUUAAAAUAAAUCUGAAUCUGCUCCUAUGUAUAGUAACCAUUUGGGAAAGUAAUAAAUGUGAUUACCUCAUGAGCAGGAUGAUAAGACUACCUUCAUAUAUUAAAUUCUAAUACUUUUAUAUCUACUAACUGAAAAAUCCAUUCUUGUUUUUUGCACAUUUAAUAGUAUUAUUUAAUAUAAUAUUUAAUAUUUGAAGCUUUCAGAUAUUUUGGAGACAUGAUUGUGAUUAAAAAGCAGUUCAGUAGUUGUGAGUUGCUGGAUAUUGCACCAAACUUCCAGCUGGACCCUAGCUAUGUCCAAACAAUCCUGCCCAGGGAAUUUAUAUCUUGAAAAACAAGUCCAGUAAGAGGGAACAGAUCAAAAAUACCAGAGAAAAGAACCCAGCGUGUGUGGAUUUCAAAGCAGAUGUAGUGCUGUGUAUAAGCCUGCUCUCCAUUUCCAAACAUCUUUCAGAAAAAAAUGUGUUAAGACUUUAAUCCUGUCAGACUUUUUAAAAAAGAGGUUUACUGAGCUUCCCCUUCUCCUCUAAGUCAUUGCCUUCUUUUGAUGAAAUGAUAGAAAGGAACUCAUCUAUUCAGAAAGGCAUCUGAGAACUAUAUGAGAUUCCUAGCUGCUUUUUUGGUGGGGGCAGGGUGGGUGGAAUACUUCUAGUCUGGAUGGAAACUGACCACUAAGAAACUCCUAAUGUCUCACCGCUGCCAAAACAAGACUGGACCAGGAUCCACGUGCCAUAUGGGUCAGGCAGGAAAUGCACCUUGUUGAAAGACAAUAGGGAGUUGCGGGCAACAUAAACUGUCCUGAGAGCUGCGUCCCUAGUAAAAGGACAAGCUGCUUACUACUUAGUUUCCGCCAAUUAUAAAAUGAUAUGGGAAUGUGGUCUGCAUGGUUGUUAAUAGAAAGGUUAAUCAAAAGAUGCCAAAAGAUAAAGAAGGUGGCAAAGAGUGUGGGAGAUAUAUAAAUAACACACAUUGCAGGAGAUAGUGCAGCGUGCUUCCCCCCAAAUAAUGGGCUCCCCAGUUCCCCACAGUGGCAUGCACUCCUCAUUCUGCCACCUGCCGGCCAAGAGACUGCCGCUCUCUUAAUGUGGAGGGAAGUGGUAGUUAAUAUCCUCCUGCCCACCUUACCCCCACCCCCUGACUAUUUUAGAGCUUUGUGUGCCCACCUACUUAACAGGUGCUAGUGACAAGCAUAAAACAUCAUGGGUAACGUUUCUGAGUGUUUAAUGCAGGUUUGGGUGAAGCAGGGCAGCUUCUUUCAGCAGGUCCCGAUAGUAAGCUGACACGAGGUGUGUUUCUGUAUCUUGCUCAUUGAUCUAAGAUUCCGUAUUCUCACAGUAUCAGUCCAGCUAGAUUAUUGUUCUUUGACUUUCUAGAACAUUUCUCACAACUCUGAGAGAAUACAGGACAAAUCCUAUCAUAGCUGCUAUCUGCACUACCUUGUGAGGAUGAUACGGUUCUAUUUAAACCAAGUAAGGUAUUACACAUUCCUCCGUUAAUUGAAUGUUUCAUUUCUUGUACAUACUUUUUCUUAAUGAUAACAUGUUUAUUAACUGCUUUCUAUCUGCUAAUUAUUGUCAUACAUGUAAAAUGAAUUAUCUCACUUAAUGUUUAAAAAUUACCAAGUAAGAGGUAUGAACUACCAUCAUCCUUCCUCAUUUACCAAUGAGGAAAGUGGGCUUACAGAAGUUAAUUUGCCCAAGGUCCUACAACUAAGAAGUGCAGAGAUACUCAGAUUCGUUUGACACAAACUUUUUUUUAAUUGAAGUACAGCAUUUGACACAAACUUAUGCCACAUUUCUUCUAAAGUCCUCAAAAGGCAAAGGAUGUUAUUUUAUCCCAUAUAUAGAAUAUUAACAAUGAUAAUAUUGGAUAUGUAGGCAAAUGCUUAGAAUUGGUUUUUAAAUGAUGAUGGGAUGUCUAAAUUUUGGACAAAGUUUGGAUGGGACGCAGUUGACUUAUUCAUGUAUAGAUCUUG